CACCCAUCAUUUCUCUAUAUUCGCAUGAAAAAUUGCCAUCAAGUUGUACUGUAAGUUAUGAAGUUACAGAGCAGUGAAAAAAAAUUUGAAGUGGAGCUUUUCCAGACAUGUUAAAAGUAAUUUAUUUUUGUCUCACCAGGCCACUGAGCAGGAGAUGAGUUUGGAGUUGCAUGCUCUUCAAUACUCUCUGUCCUCAGUCUGCGACGAUCACUCAAAAGCAGUCCUUGAUAAACCAUCCCUGUAAACUGAUUUGCUUCUGUUUGGCUGCUAAAUACAAAUAAAUUUUUUUCUGAUGAGAAAGGAUUUCAGAACAUUUUUGCAAUAAAUACAGUAUAUAGAAAUGCUUCUCUUUUUAAUCAGAAAAUGCAAUAUUUAAAAUUCUACAGGACUACAAUUUCAUAUCAUAGUAUAUACUUUUUAAAUUAAAACUUGUUAUGUUUUUACAGCCAAUUUUGGUUUGAAACAAGAACUGUCCAAAACCUGACUUCAUUUAACCUCAAAUAUUUUCCAUGCAGUCCCACCCAGCAAUGGAUAUACUGUGGAAAACAGCACUCAGACGUUCUUUUUGAAGCAUCCUAAGAUUGAUACCAGAUUUUCCUCCUUUCAUUGGAAAAAAAAGAUUGUUAUUAUUUUAUCUGUGUGAAACUGGCAGGGACUAUCAGAACUAAUGUGUGGGUUGCAUAGUUAUCUAUACAUACAUAGCAAUUGAAUCUCUUUGCUUAGACACAGGCAGAAAGAAUUUCUAAAUAUUCUUCAAAUGUAGGACUGUAAGAAAGAAAUUCUAUUUGUACCUGUAGCUGUGGCUGUCACACAGUGCUUGAUAAAUGGAUGCAGAAAGGGAAGCUGCUAAAGAAUGAAGAGUGUACACCUAAAAUGAAAAGAGCUGGACUCUCCCAGUAACAAGAAUAUUACUAUUAUGAGCUUACAAUGCAGCAGAAACACUCCAUUUCCUAGAAGAAGAAAUGCAAGGAUUUCUUGGAAAGACUGAUGGAGGCCAAACUGUGUUGAAAAUGGAUUAUUUAUUCUCUUCUACUGCUGUCUACUCAGUACAGACAAGAUUUCAAAAGGAUGGAUGUUAAAA